GAUGAACGCUAGCGGCAGGCUUAACACAUGCAAGUCGAGGGGUAUGCCGAUUUAUCGGCAGAGACCGGCGCACGGGUGCGUAACGCGUAUGCAAUCUACCUUUCACAGAGGGAUAGCCCAGAGAAAUUUGGAUUAAUACCUCAUAGUAUAGCAGUUUCGCAUGAAACCACUAUUAAAGUUCCAACGGUGAAAGAUGAGCAUGCGUCCCAUUAGCUAGAUGGUAAGGUAACGGCUUACCAAGACGAUGAUGGGUAGGGGUCCUGAGAGGGAGAUCCCCCCACACUGGUACUGAGACACGGACCAGACUCCUACGGGAGGCAGCAGUGAGGAAUAUUGGUCAAUGGGCGCAAGCCUGAACCAGCCAUGCCGCGUGCAGGAAGACGGUCCUAUGGAUUGUAAACUGCUUUUAUACAGGAAGAAACCCUCCACGUGUGGGAGAUUGACGGUACUGUAGGAAUAAGGAUCGGCUAACUCCGUGCCAGCAGCCG
rnacentral:rRNA from 1 species